AUUCCACUCACCUUGCUUGCCUCCCAGAUGGGAAUGAGAGGUGUUGCAAAUCGUAACCAAAAUAGUUGCCACAAGCCAGGAGAGGCUGCAACACUGUACUUCUUAUCAGCUGAAUGGGAACUAAUGAGCUUUUUCAGAUGUCAUUCUACGGGGAUCUCCACCAGCAGCAGCCCUCUGAUGAGUUUAUCUGCCUGAAACUGGCUUCUCUAAUAAGAUCCCUGAUCAUCUCAGGGGUUUAUGGCAAGCCAUUGAUAUUGCUGGGCUGCCAACCAAGCCACGGGCAGCGGGUGUGUCUAAUCCUUAAAUACAAUAA